AAACGACUCUCGGCAACGGAUAUCUCGGCUCACGCAUCGAUGAAGAACGUAGCAAAAUGCGAUACUUGGUGUGAAUUGCAGAAUCCCGUGAACCAUCGAGUUUUUGAACGCAAGUUGCGCCCGAAGCCAUUUGGCCGAGGGCACGCCUGCCUGGGCGUCACG
rnacentral:rRNA from 1 species